AUUCAAAUAGCUUAUAAAAGAGCAUAGCAUUGAAGCUGCUGGGGAGGUUAUUAUAAUCUUUGAAUA
rnacentral:tRNA from 2 species